UCGCUCACGAAGCCUGGCUUACUGACGCGCCUCAGGUACGGACCGCCGCCUUCUCUACAUUGUAGAUCAGCCACCGUUAGUCAUGACUCAGUGAACGGACCGUGGAGAAAAUGGAAAGUGCUCGCGGCUCGAGACCGUUUCAGCACCACUUCGGCUGGACAGCGCAACAGCUUCUUUUUUUUGCUUCUUCUUCUCUUUUUUUUCUAGACAGGAUCCCGAGGUGGGGGGUUUCUUUUUGAAAUUGCACGAGCGUGCGUGAUGGAGUUCGUCGAACAGGAACAAGCUGCAACAGCAUCAGAUUAACAAGACAUCAAACAUUCCGCUUUGGUCCGAGUCUGAAAAGAUGAUGCGGGAAGUCUUGUAAGCAGCACGCAGUAAAGCAUCCAGCAGCACCGGACAGAACGAGAGAGCUUGAGCUUGCAGUGAUAGAGCUACUGCACUCAAAUCAUUUCCUCCCACUCAGUAAGGAUCAAAGCCUUAACAGCUCCAACCCGAGAAGCCAAAAUGAGCUCCUUCAUCAGAAAAUAUUCAGUCAGCAAAUCCUUCUACAGCCUCAUAUUCCUGUUCUUGGCUGACAGGAGUGGAACCUGAUGUGGUCUUCUGCUGUUGUAGCCUAUCCGUCUCAAAGUUUGAUGUAUUCCCCAAGACUGGGGGAGAUUUAAUCUUUAUCCACACUGCUAAGUGAGGAACACUACACUCGUAGCAACUGGUAAGUUAAACAUAUGGUUCAUUCUCACAAAAUGCCAAGUGUAUGAGUCAUUCUAUCGGUUGGAAUGAAAUACACCGAUAAGCCAUAACUUUAAAACCACCUACCUAAUAUUGUGUAGGUCCCCCUUGUGCCGCCAAAACA
ensembl:lncRNA